rnacentral:rRNA from 1 species
UGGGGAAUAUUGCGCAAUGGGGGAAACCCUGACGCAGCAACGCCGCGUGAAGGAUGACGGUUUUCGGAUUGUAAACUUCAGCAAGCAGGGAAGAUAAUGACGGUACCUGAACAAAAGCCACGGCUAACUACGUGCCAGCAGCCGCGGUAAUACGUAGGUGGCAAGCGUUGUCCGGAUUUACUGGGUGUAAAGGGCGUGUAGACGGGUGUUUAAGUCAGACGUGAAAUACCGAAGCUCAACUUCGGGGCUGCGUUUGAAACUGGACAUCUUGAGUGCAGGAGAGGAAAGCGGAAUUCCUAGUGUAGCGGUGAAAUGCGUAGAUAUUAGGAGGAACACCAGUGGCGAAGGCGGCUUUCUGGACUGUAACUGACGUUGAGGCGCGAAAGUGUGGGGAGCAAACA